CCGCCCCAUCGAUCGGCACAGCCGGGGCUCCCCCUCGGCUCUGCCCCUGCCCGGCACCGCGCAGCCCCGCCGCCUGCUCCGGAAAGCUCCCGGAGCCUCUCCCUUUAAGCGGACCCGGUCAGUCCCCCCUCCCCAGCGCACACACACAGACAUACAUGCACACACGCACAUACAUACACACACGCACACACACACAUACACAGACACACACACUCCUCCUCUUUCUCCCUCCCCUUCUUUCUUCCUCGUUUUGCCCAUUUCUUGCGACCGGAGUUUAUUCUGCCAACGCGUUUGUUACACAACUGCCCCCCCCGCGCACACUUCCAGCACACACACACACACACACACACACACGCCGGCAACAAACACAUCGGGAGACGGGAGAAAAUGCGCCGAGACGGGGAGGCACAAGGCCAGAAACUUACCUGCUCCACGACCGGCUGCCAAACUGUACUCUGUUGGGCAUCCAGAUUCGGCCCCACCCAGGGCUCUGCCUAAAUGGAAUGGUCUUAUGCUGCAGCAUAAGAAAGAGAUCUCUCCAUGGAGAUGAUGUAUCAUCACUUUCUCAAUAACCAGAGCUAUUCACCAUGGUGGAACAGUCAAUAUUGUUUUCUCCCUGUACUCUUCCCCUGUACUCCAAAAUGUGUUUUAGAGUCAGAAACUGCUUACUCAAGUUAGUUUGCUGAGAGAAAAAGCGAAGCAAAACCUGGAGACAGGGCUACAUGAGAUUAAAACCAGACCUGAACAGUUUUUAACUGCCAAGCGACAAGCCCUUUAAAACAGGAUUAACAGUGGAAAUUCUGGCUUUUUUCAUCUUCCAUGGUGAUACUAUAACAUCUGGACUCCUUCACAGCCCUUGGUCCACCAUCAGGAACAGCCAGUGACAGACAUCGGGACUAAAGCGACAGCAGUGACCCGAGUUAUUUUGGAAGUUACAGCCCAACGUAUAAGAUUUCAUGCAGUGGCUCUGAUGACAAAAAACGAAUUUACCACAUGGAAUCUCACAACAUAUUGUGCGGUAACUCAGAAAAUAACUUGGGUUACCGUAGCACAUAUAUAUAUAAUACACAUUAACAGUGUUUAUAGACACUGAUCUAUUAAGUCAUUUCCCUACACUACCUUCAGACCUGUAUGAAGCUGAAAAGCCAUCAUUAAAGCUAUGGUUUGCCAGACAAUUACUUUGUCAAAUCUCAAGAAAUUGCAUAAUAAAUUGUAUACAUGCAUCAAACAUGAACAGCAGAGGGGUAUAACAAGCAGAGAAUUUCCAGUCCACUUCUUCGUUCAUCUGAACAGUAGCUUUUGUUUUGAAGCGUAAUCCUAUAUUCCUUUCAAGGCAUAAAAUGUGCAUAUACAUUUAUCUAUCAAACUAAGUAGAAAUAAUUGAAAUACUUAAUAUGCACAGUAAUAAAGAAACGCACGAACAACUUCAUUAUUAAUGUCUAUUGAUUAUUUAUGUUUUCAAAUAGGCAAAUGUAGCUACUAAUAUUUUAUCGUGUUAAUCUAUAUGUGCUUUUUGGCUUUACCUGUUUAUUGGCAAAUUUACUGUCCACAUUAUGGGUAUUUUUAUUGCUGUACACUCAUUUGCUAUGCGCAUAACUGAGGUCAGUUUAUGAACUGACGGU
ensembl:lncRNA